rnacentral:rRNA from 1 species
CAGCACCUCAAGUGGUCAGGAUGAUUAUUGGGCCUAAAGCACCCGUAGCCGGCUCUGUAAGUUUUCGGUUAAAUCUGUAUGCUCAACAUACAGGCUGCCGGGAAUACUGCAGAGCUAGGGAGUGGGAGAGGUAGACGGUACUCGGUAGGAAGGGGUAAAAUCCUUUGAUCUAUUGAUGACCACCUGUGGCGAAGGCGGUCUACCAGAACACGUCCGACGGUGAGGGAUGAAAGCUGGGGGAGCAAACCGGAUUAGAUACCCGUGUAGUCC